rnacentral:rRNA from 1 species
GACGAACGCUGGCGGCGUGCUUAACACAUGCAAGUCGAACGGUGAACCUCUUCGGAGGGGAUCAGUGGCGAACGGGUGAGUAACACGUGGGCAACCUGCCCCCGGCUCUGGGAUAACUCCAAGAAAUUGGGGCUAAUACCGGAUGUUCACCGCUUCCCGCAUGGGUGGUGGUGGAAAGGGUUUCCGGCUGGGGAUGGGCCCGCGGCCUAUCAGCUUGUUGGUGGGGUAGUGGCCUACCAAGGCGACGACGGGUAGCCGGCCUGAGAGGGUGACCGGCCACACUGGGACUGAGACACGGCCCAGACUCCUACGGGAGGCAGCAGUGGGGAAUAUUGCGCAAUGGGCGGAAGCCUGACGCAGAGACGCCGCGUGGGGGAUGACGGCCUUCGGGUUGUAAACCUCUUUCAGCAGGGACGAAGCGCAAGUGACGGUACCUGCAGAAGAAGCACCGGCCAACUACGUG